GUCUGCCUUGGGCAAGUAGCAGUAUUGCUGCAGAGAGAAGGGAAAGGUGUUAGAAAGGAACAUCUUGCUACACUAAGCAAAGAUGAGUUGGGACAAAGAACAAGCAACUGAAAUGUAAUGAAGUAAACUGAAGUCACUCUCCAAUGAAAGCCUGCAUUCUAUAGGCACCAACAAAGAAAUACUGAGCAAGAGAGCAACUAACUCAGGAAUCUGCACUUGGAAACAAGCACAUGAAUUUUCUGUGACUUGUCUUCUUAGAGGAAUUAAUUCUGAUGUUCAGCCACCAGAACACAAGCAAUACAUCAAUGCUGCAGCAAUGACCACCACAUUUUGUGGUUGCCUCCGCCGGAUUUGGAAGCAGUACUCCAAACAGCUGUCACCACUCUUCAUUGAGCCCCAAGACUACAGGUGCAGGCAAAAGAUGAACAUUACAUAUUUGCCUUCAGCAGCUCUAGUAGCUAAAGGUUUUCACAAACCACUGCUGUGAUUGCUGUAGUUUAUGGUACAGAGGAGGAGGUAAGAGUUGGUCCUCACAGCCAGGAAAAUGUGGCUCACAUGAAACAGCAGCCCUUCCCAAUAGGUUGCGUUUCAUAAGGCAGCUAUAUUUUGCACUAGUUAAAGAAGCUUGGCAGUAAAAAUACCUCCUAGUUCACCAUUUUAUACCUAUAUUACAUACUCAGUCUCAUUAGCACUCAAGCAGAAUAAUAGUUCAGUAAUUCACAAGUUACUUGAGGCUUUCUUCAAGGUAAAACAAUAAUUGUGGCAGCCCUGGAUGUUACCUGGUAGCAGAUUUGCUCUGCAGGUGUAGUUUUUCCAUGGAGACAAUUUGCCUGCAAUCCCAGUCUCCUCGGCUAGAGGGUACCGUUAUCCUUCCAUUAGCCCGGCUAUUGCAGUUACAAAGAACAAAUCCACUUUUUCCACGUUUGUCAUAUCAAACAAAUGUUAAAAAAAACAUUCAGCUUGGACCUUUUCUGUCCUAGGUAUUCAUCCUCUGGCACGAGGCUAUGGUUUAUACUCAAAAACAGA